ACUCCUACGGGAGGCAGCAGUGGGGAAUAUUGCACAAUGGGCGCAAGCCUGAUGCAGCCAUGCCGCGUGUAUGAAGAAGGCCUUCGGGUUGUAAAGUACUUUCAGCAGUGAGGAAGGUGGGUAUGUUAAUAGCAUAUUCAUUUGACGUUAGCUGCAGAAGAAGCACCGGCUAACUCCGUGCCAGCAGCCGCGGUAAUACGGAGGGUGCGAGCGUUAAUCGGAAUUACUGGGCGUAAAGCGCAUGCAGGUGGUUUGUUAAGUCAGAUGUGAAAGCCCGGGGCUCAACCUCGGAAUUGCAUUUGAAACUGGCAAACUAGAGUACUGUAGAGGGGGGUAGAAUUUCAGGUGUAGCGGUGAAAUGCGUAGAGAUCUGAAGGAAUACCGGUGGCGAAGGCGGCCCCCUGGACAGAUACUGACACUCAGAUGCGAAAGCGUGGGGAGCAAACAGGAUUAGAUACCCUGGUAGGCU
rnacentral:rRNA from 1 species